rnacentral:rRNA from 1 species
CCUACGGGGGGCAGCAGUGGGGGAUAUUGCACAAUGGGGGGAACCCUGAUGCAGCGACGCCGCGUGGGUGAAGAAGCGCCUCGGCGCGUAAAGCCCUGUCAGUAGGGAAGAAAAUGACGGUACCUGAAGAAGAAGCCCCGGCUAACUACGUGCCAGCAGCCGCGGUAAUACGUAGGGGGCAAGCGUUAACCGGAUUUACUGGGUGUAAAGGGGGCGCAGUCGGGGUAGCAAGCCAGGUGUGAAAGCCCGGGGCCCAACCCCAGGAGUGCUCUUGAAACUGCGUGGCUGGAGUGCGGGAGGGGCAGGCGGAAUUCCUGGUGUAGCGGUGAAAUGCGUAGAUAUCAGGAGGAACACCGAUGGCGAAGGCGGCCUGCUGGACUGCAACUGACGUUGAGGCCCGAAAGCGUGGGGAGCAAACAGGAUUAGAUACCCUGGUAGUC